GCUGGCGGCGUGCCUAAUACAUGCAAGUCGAACGAACUCUGGUAUUGAUUGGUGCUUGCAUCAUGAUUUACAUUUGAGUGAGUGGCGAACUGGUGAGUAACACGUGGGAAACCUGCCCAGAAGCGGGGGAUAACACCUGGAAACAGAUGCUAAUACCGCAUAACAACUUGGACCGCAUGGUCCGAGUUUGAAAGAUGGCUUCGGCUAUCACUUUUGGAUGGUCCCGCGGCGUAUUAGCUAGAUGGUGGGGUAACGGCUCACCAUGGCAAUGAUACGUAGCCGACCUGAGAGGGUAAUCGGCCACAUUGGGACUGAGACACGGCCCAAACUCCUACGGGAGGCAGCAGUAGGGAAUCUUCCACAAUGGACGAAAGUCUGAUGGAGCAACGCCGCGUGAGUGAAGAAGGGUUUCGGCUCGUAAAACUCUGUUGUUAAAGAAGAACAUAUCUGAGAGUAACUGUUCAGGUAUUGACGGUAUUUAACCAGAAAGCCACGGCUAACUACGUGCCAGCAGCCGCGGUAAUACGUAGGUGGCAAGCGUUGUCCGGAUUUAUUGGGCGUAAAGCGAGCGCAGGCGGUUUUUUAAGUCUGAUGUGAAAGCCUUCGGCUCAACCGAAGAAGUGCAUCGGAAACUGGGAAACUUGAGUGCAGAAGAGGACAGUGGAACUCCAUGUGUAGCGGUGAAAUGCGUAGAUAUAUGGAAGAACACCAGUGGCGAAGGCGGCUGUCUGGUCUGUAACUGACGCUGAGGCUCGAAAGUAUGGGUAGCAAACAGGAUUAGAUACCCUGGUAGUCCAUACCGUAAACGAUGAAUGCUAAGUGUUGGAGGGUUUCCGCCCUUCAGUGCUGCAGCUAACGCAUUAAGCAUUCCGCCUGGGGAGUACGGCCGCAAGGCUGAAACUCAAAGGAAUUGACGGGGGCCCGCACAAGCGGUGGAGCAUGUGGUUUAAUUCGAAGCUACGCGAAGAACCUUACCAGGUCUUGACAUACUAUGCAAAUCUAAGAGAUUAGACGUUCCCUUCGGGGACAUGGAUACAGGUGGUGCAUGGUUGUCGUCAGCUCGUGUCGUGAGAUGUUGGGUUAAGUCCCGCAACGAGCGCAACCCUUAUUAUCAGUUGCCAGCAUUAAGUUGGGCACUCUGGUGAGACUGCCGGUGACAAACCGGAGGAAGGUGGGGAUGACGUCAAAUCAUCAUGCCCCUUAUGACCUGGGCUACACACGUGCUACAAUGGAUGGUACAACGAGUUGCGAACUCGCGAGAGUAAGCUAAUCUCUUAAAGCCAUUCUCAGUUCGGAUUGUAGGCUGCAACUCGCCUACAUGAAGUCGGAAUCGCUAGUAAUCGCGGAUCAGCAUGCCGCGGUGAAUACGUUCCCGGGCCUUGUACACACCGCCCGUCACACCAUGAGAGUUUGUAACACCCAAAGUCGGUGGGGUAACCUUUUAGGAACCAGCCGCCUAAGGUGGACAGA
rnacentral:rRNA from 2 species